AUGCUUCACGGCUAUUUUGGUUCCAUUACUCAGUGUUCCCUCAUAUACAGAGCCAAAUCCUCCUUUCCCAAGUUUUUUGCUGAAAUCUUCUGUAAUUAUUUUCAAGUCAUUGUAAGAGAAUCGAGUUAGUAUUCCAGGUAAGAUUGGUUCCAGAUCCAGCAAAUACCCAGCCUUGCGGGACUUUUGUCCUCUUUUUGAACAAAACAAAGCAAGUACUGAUGCUUAAAAUUAUCCCGAACAAAACUGCAAGAGUAGAUCCUAUUAUCACUUUAAAAGGUCUUGAUUUCUUUCCUUCAAGGAUGAUUGGAGACUGAUUCAGCGCCUUUGAGGAAUUCUGCACCUUAAGAUAUAUUGUCUUGCCUCUUCCUCCUUCAUUGUCUAUGAGAGAGAAGACUUCAUUAAGUAACAAACAGCUCCCUAUUCGAUUAGAAUCCCAAUCAUUUUCAAAAACAGCUGCUUUGCAAGAACAGUUACUCAGACAUGCCCUUUUGCAUUCUUCCAACUUUUUCCCCUCAAGCCAAAAUAUGCUCGAACUUAGUUCAUGACUGAACUUAAAUGCAAAAUAUACAGUAUCCUUAAGCUCUACGAAACUAUGAUACCGCGAAGAGUCGCAGUUAACCUCUGUCAGCUGUGAACAUCCUAGAUCUGGGUUCCUAUUUAUUGGCCUGAAGAAAUUUUCCUCUGGCGGACAAUUACAUUGCCCGUUAUUUGUACAAAUGCUAUAUCUUCCACACACCAUUGGAUACCCACAGUUCCUUGCAUCUGGCAUCAAAAUGUCAGAUACCUCUUUCCAGUCAAUUACGGCCCAUUGGUAUACCCUUAAAUGUCCAUCUGGAUCAAGCUUUAUGCAUUGAGCCGUCGAUGUAGGAGGAUCUUGUAAAGCAAUGGCAUCCCACUGGUACACCCUUAUAUGUCCAUCAGGUCCAAGCUUUAGGAAUUGGGUUCCUGAUGUAUAAGGGUCUUGUAGAACAGUAAAGGUUCGACCGUCAAAAUCGUAAUAAGGGCUACCUGGAGCGUCAUACUGAUUCAAAGCCAUAUAAUACUGAGGUGGAUCAGUAUCUAUGGAAGUCACCAGACUUUCCCUAAGAACAGUAAAAGAAAAAGAAUGAUUUGUUGAAGAAAUGGUUGUUGUAAGCUUCCUUCCAGAAACCAACUUCUGCCCUGGAAGCAAACAGUCGGUUGGAUGAUCAAAAGAUUGCCAAAUUGUGCGCUUUCUCUUAUCAAAGAGCACGAGAUUCCCUCUUUCUGUCAAGUUUAAGCCUGAAACAGAUUUGCCAGUAGUAUUAGUGGACCAAACAAGAGUGCCAUCAAAGUCUGCCAAGACCAAAUUGCCAUCUCGGCCUAGUUGCAAGGUUGCAUUGGCUUUCACUGGAUGGUUCUGAUUAGCAGACCAAACUAACUGGGGUAAAUUUAUGAUACCCUUCUCCCCGUUGGAUCUGUUGGGGAACAAGAGGACACCAAGAAAGCAUCCUGAACCAUUGUAAUUACAGUCGGAGCCACAGAGGAAUCGUGGGCCGGCAUUUCCUCCCAGAAGUAUGGGUGUCAAACCAUAGAAGUCGUCAGUAGAAUACGGCCUGUUAAUCCAUAAAGAGGAAAGUUCGCCAGUAGAAUUUAAAUGACUGAAAUUUGUAUUCCAUGAAUGUUGGGAUAUAGCAAACUGAGACAAACGGAAGAGGAGAUAAAUGAAGAGAAGGAUAGCAAAAUAUUGUCUCUGCUUUGCUAUCAUUGCUACUCCCUUUGUGUUAUAUUAAUGCUUGUUGUUGUGCCUUUUUGGGGAAUAUUACCUUCUUAUUGUGUACAGUUCAAGAAAGAAAAGGAAAAUCAUACAAAAUUCCAAAGUGGUAUCUGUAAUUGUAAUUUGCUCCAUACAUUAGUUUCUAAGAAAAUCACACAAAAUUCCAAAGUGGUAUCUGUAAUUGUAAUUUGCUCCAUACAUUAGUUUCUGUUAGCUUGCUCAGUAGAAGGGCAUCACAUUUAAGUUCUUCCAUUCUGUUGACCUCCAACACUAUUUUCAGCAGCCAACUUUGACUAUGAUAAAAUUCCUACAUCUUUGUCUCUUUGUCAGUCUUUGCCCGGUCAAUACAGAGAGGGGCCUCACAAAAACUUAUUCAAUGUGCUGUCAUCUUCAUAAUUAAACUUGUACAGUCUUUCCAAUAGCUCAGUGUUGACUAAGUUUAAUACUAAUAAGAAUGGACCUUGGGCCUAACUCAACUCCAAAAGCUAGCUUAUGAGGUGAGGAUUGCCCAAGCCAUAUAAGGAGACCAAGGACCUCAAAUCCCUNNNNNNNNNNNNNNNNNNNNNNNNNNNNNNNNNNNNNNNNNNNNNNNNNNNNNNNNNNNNNNNNNNNNNNNNNNNNNNNNNNNNNNNNNNNNNNNNNNNNNNNNNNNNNNNNNNNNNNNNNAAAAGAAUGGACCUUGGGCCUAACUUAACCCCAAAAGCUAGCUUUUGGGGUUGAGUUAGGCCCAAGGUCCAUUCUUUUCAUGGUAUUUGAGUUGUCCCACAUCGGAGGGAUUUGAGGUCCUUGAUCUCCUUAUAUAGCUUGGGCAAUCCUCAGCUAGUUUUUGGGGUUGAGUUAGGCCCAAUGUCCAUUCUUAUCAAAUACUUUAACAAAUGCUUGUCAUUUCAUUUUCUAAACUUUGAAAGCCUCAUGCUCCAGGUGGCUAUUACAAGUAAAGCAUGAUUAUGGUUAUUAAUCUAAAUAAACUUUGCACCCAUUCAGCCUCUAAAUCAUCAAAUUACAUUUCUACUGCAGAUUGUUAACUGCUUAAAGAUGUUCAACUUUGUGACAAUGCAGUUUUAACUACUUGAACCGAGUUGGAGCGCUACUAACGUCAAAUCCUCUUGUUUGUUCAGUCAUUCCAAUUGAGUAAAUCGAUAAUUCGAUACUUAUCCUAUUUUAUUUUAUCUGCUCCGGUUCUUACGUCAUUUAAAGUACUAAAGAAAAGAAAAAAAUAAGUUGUGGACUCGUGAAACUGAUUUUCCUUACUCUGCUUUGUCAAGUCACUCAAGAUCGUGUUGAAUAUGUUUCCUUGCUUUGCCAAUUAAGUCAAGACACAAGCCAACCAACGAACUCUCUCCUUGCUUAUAACUCAUAACUGUAUUUGCUUAGGAAACUGCUUUAGUUCACCAACCAACAGUUUCUAAAAGCUUUAACCGAGUUAGAAUCCCACUGUAUCGGUGAACUUCACGUCCCAUAUUUGACAUGGUCAACGGAUAUAAAAGCGUUUGAAGGCAACUAUGCAUUGGCAUGACAACAUAUCAGAAGGUCAACAGCAACAAUAAUAACCCAGUGUAAUUCCACGAGCGGAGUUCUGCGGAGGGUAGAAUCUAAGCAGAAGGUCAACAGCAACAAUAACAACCCAGUGUAAUUCCACGAGCGGGGUUCUGCGGAGGGUAGGAUGUAAGCAGCCUUACCCUUACCCUGGAGGGCAAAGAGACUGUUUCCGAUAGAUCUCGACUAAAUAAAAGACGGAAUAAGCGACAUAUCAAAAGGCCGAGGUCAUAUAAUGAAGGCAGCUUAUCGUCGAGGUCGAGGUAGCUUAAAUGGAAGACGAGUGUAACACUCCUCAAAUUUAUAAAAGUUUCGAAAUACGCUAAUUGUAGAACUAAAUUAUUGUUAUUACUAUUAUUUUUAGACAUCUUACAAUAUUGAUAUUAUACAUCCGUAAAUUGAUUCUAUUGAAAACUAAAAAUCUUAAGCUUAUUGUUUACCUUGGUCCAGAUAAAACUGAAGCCAAUUUCGUACUAAUAGUGGCUUCUCUCUGUUGGUUGCCUGCCCCAACCUGAGGUACGUUCGUGAAAUUGUAAUCCAAGUUGGAUUCGACAGACACCAAACCUUCCAGCGCCUUAACCACCACUGUCAUUGAAGGUCUCUUGGUGUAAUCUCCCUGUAGGCACCAUGCAGCAAUGCUCAUCAUUUCUGUCACUUCUUCUUUAUGGAGCUGCAUAUCCUCGUUGUUUUUGUCAACCAUAUCCACGAGCUGCUCUUCUUCCGCUUUUCUCCUGAAAACACUAACCAAAUGGACAUCUUCUUCAUCAGCUUGGGACCGAUCCAAAUUCUUUCUCCACAGAGGAGUUCCAACAGCACAAUUCCAAACGCAUACACAUCAACUUUCUCAGUGAUUAUGGAACUCAACCAUUCAGGGGCAAGAUACCCUGGUGUUCCUCUCAUUCUAGUUACAACUUUGCUUUUGUCUUUCUCGAUUAGCUUUGACAACCCAAAAUCAGAUAUCUUAGCAUUGAGAUGUUGAUCCAGAAGGAUAUUUUGUGGUUUGAUGUCCAAAUGAAUUAUCUUCUGGCUGCAAUCCUCAUGUAAAUAAGCUAACCCUUUGGCAAUAUCUGAUAUUAUCUUUUGCCUUGUAAGCCAUGUAAGCCCAUUUUGUUGCUUUUCAGGGGAAAUCCACCUAUCCAAUGAUCCAUUUAUCAUGUACUCGUAGAUUAGAAGCCUGUGGCUUUCCUCGGCACAAAAUCCAAUGAGUUUUACCAAAUUGACAUGGUGAAUGCCACCAACUAUAUUUACCUCUGUUAAGAAUGAUUCUUUUACUUGACCUAGACCAUCCAGAUGCUUCACGGCUAUUUUGGUUCCAUUACUCAGUGUUCCCUCAUAUACAGUGCCAAAUCCUCCUUCCCCAAGCUUUUUGCUGAAAUCUUCUGUAAUUGUUUACGGCUAUUUUGGUUCCAUUACUCAGUGUUCCCUCAUAUACAGAGCCAAAUCCUCCUUCCCCAAGUUUUUUGCUGAAAUCUUCUGUAAUUGUUUUCAAGUCAUUGUAAGAGAAUCGAGUUAGCAUUCCAGGUAAGAUUGGUUCCAGAUCCAGCAAAUACCCAGCCUUGCGGGACUUAUCUGUCCUCCUUUUGAACAGAACAAAGCAAGUACUGAUGCUUAAAAUUAUCCCGAACAAAGCUGCAAGAGUAGAUCCUAUUAUCACUUUA
rnacentral:lncRNA from 1 species